rnacentral:rRNA from 1 species
AUGAACGCUGGCGGCGUGCCUAAUACAUGCAAGUCGAGCGAACAGACGAGGAGCUUGCUCCUCUGACGUUAGCGGCGGACGGGUGAGUAACACGUGGAUAACCUCCCUAUAAGACUGGGAUAACUUCGGGAAACCGGAGCUAAUACCGGAUAAUAUAUUGAACCGCAUGGUUCAAUAGUGAAAGACGGUUUUGCUGUCACUUAUAGAUGGAUCCGCGCCGCAUUAGCUAGUUGGUAAGGUAACGGCUUACCAAGGCAACGAUGCGUAGCCGACCUGAGAGGGUGAUCGGCCACACUGGAACUGAGACACGGUCCAGACUCCUACGGGAGGCAGCAGUAGGGAAUCUUCCGCAAUGGGCGAAAGCCUGACGGAGCAACGCCGCGUGAGUGAUGAAGGUCUUCGGAUCGUAAAACUCUGUUAUUAGGGAAGAACAAAUGUGUAAGUAACUAUGCACGUCUUGACGGUACCUAAUCAGAAAGCCACGGCUAACUACGUG